UACGUAGGGGGGCAAGCGUUGUCCGGAUUUAUUGGGCGUAAAGAGCGUGUAGGCGGCCAGGCAGGUCCGUUGUGAAAACUCGAGGCUCAACCUCGAGACGUCGAUGGAAACCGUCCGGCUAGAGUCCGGAAGAGGAAAGUGGAAUUCCUGGUGUAGCGGUGAAAUGCGCAGAUAUCAGGAAGAACACCAAUGGCGAAAGCAGCUUUCUGGGACGGUACUGACGCUG
rnacentral:rRNA from 1 species